UACGGAGGAUGCGAGCGUUAUCCGGAUUCAUUGGGUUUAAAGGGUGCGUAGGCGGAAUAAUAAGUCAGUGGUGAAAGCUUGCGGCUUAACCGUAAAAUUGCCGUUGAUACUGUUAUUCUUGAGUAUAGUUGAAGUAGGCGGAAUGUGUAAUGUAGCGGUGAAAUGCUUAGAUAUUACACAGAACACCAAUUGCGAAGGCAGCUUACUAAGCUGUUACUGACGCUGAGGCACGAAAGCGUGGGGAGCAAACAGGAUUAGAUACCCU
rnacentral:rRNA from 1 species